rnacentral:lncRNA from 1 species
AGAACACCGGGAUAUUUGGUAAGGGAGGAACUACAGGGGGAGAAACUAAGGAUUAGGGCAGGGAGAAGGGCAUGGAAUUUUGAAAGGAAGCUGGAGAGAGGGGAGGUCGGAAGAGCGCGGUGCAGGGAA